CCGAUCGGUAGCAGUGCCGGGCUUCUGGCCCUCUCCAGUGCUCUAGGAGGUCAGUCCCAUCUUCCAAUUAAAGAUGAGAAGAAGCACCAUGACAAUGAUCACCAAAGAGACAGAGACUCCAUCAAGCAAAACUACUUGCUGCUCAUAAUGGAUGAAAUUGGAGACCAAAGAGGGAGAACCUUCUGGGUUCCUGUCAGUCUAAAUCCUGAUUUUAAAAGACAUUCACCUGCUGUGCUAGUGUUGUGUGCUUCUACUGGUAGGAAAAGCUAAUAACUACCCUGACGAGCUGAACGAGUGGCCCGAGGACUGUGAUCUCACAGUUUACCGUUUUUGCAGACAGCCUCUUUUAUUUUCAUGUCAGAUUAUCUGUAAAAUGGACUUCUCCCUCCAGUGUUGUAAACCAUAACAAUUCUGGCAUUCCUCUAAUUGUGUGGGGAGAGGGAGUAUACCCAACAGAUGCUUGUCGAGCAGGAGA
rnacentral:sRNA from 1 species